GACGAACGCUGGCGGCGUGCUUAACACAUGCAAGUCGAACGGAAAGGCCCUGCUUUUGUGGGGUGCUCUAGUGGCGAACGGGUGAGUAACACGUGAGUAACCUGCCCUUGACUUUGGGAUAACUUCAGGAAACUGCGUCUAAUACCGGAUAGGAGCUCCUGCUGCAUGGUGUGGGUUGGAAAGUUUCGGCGGUUGGGGAUGGACUCGCGGCUUAUCAGCUUGUUGGUGGAGUAGUGGCUUACCAAGGCUUUGACGGGUAGCCGGCCUGAGAGGGUGACCGGGCUCAUAGGGACUGAGGUACGGGCCGGAUUCCUACGGGAGGCAGAAGUGGGGAUGAUUGCAGAACGGGAGGAAGCCGGAUGCAGCAACGCCGCGUGCGGGAUGACGGCGUGUUGGUUGAAGACCGCAGUCGCGUGUGACGAAGCGGGAGUGACGGUAAUGGGUAAAAAAGCACCGGCUAACUACGUG
rnacentral:rRNA from 1 species